rnacentral:rRNA from 1 species
AUUGAACGCUGGCGGCAGGCCUAACACAUGCAAGUCGAGCGGAUGAAGGGAGCUUGCUCCUGGAUUCAGCGGCGGACGGGUGAGUAAUGCCUAGGAAUCUGCCUGGUAGUGGGGGAUAACGUCCGGAAACGGGCGCUAAUACCGCAUACGUCCUGAGGGUGAAAGUGGGGGAUCUUCGGACCUCACGCUAUCAGAUGAGCCUAGGUCGGAUUAGCUAGUUGGUGGGGUAAAGGCCUACCAAGGCGACGAUCCGUAACUGGUCUGAGAGGAUGAUCAGUCACACUGGAACUGAGACACGGUCCAGACUCCUACGGGAGGCAGCAGUGGGGAAUAUUGGACAAUGGGCGAAAGCCUGAUCCAGCCAUGCCGCGUGUGUGAAGAAGGUCUUCGGAUUGUAAAGCACUUUAAGUUGGGAGGAAGGGCAGCAAGUUAAUACCUUGCUGUUUUGACGUUACCAACAGAAUAAGCACCGGCUAACUUCGUG